rnacentral:lncRNA from 10 species
AUGUUUAUUUUCAAUGAUUUAUUCUAGUCUUGUUCCUUAUCUACAUGGAAAACCACAAGUUGGCUGGCAUUGAGACACUCUCUACCUUCCUGUAAAUCCUGUAUUAAAACCAGUUCAAGAACCCUGGAGAAGUUUCCAGCUUCUUAAGAUCCUUAUUUCUUAUUAUCCUAUGUGAAAACUGAAAGUCAACAAUUUAUCUUGCUUACUCAUACUUUGAAGAAGUAAAUCUCAACUGAGAGAUACUUGAAAGUAGAGACAUUUUUUACUUACCACAUUUUCCUUAUCACAAUGUGAACUGAAAUCACUUGAUACAAUUGCAGCAUACUGGAGCAGCACUUUAUUGAUAGUCUAAGAAAGAAAACAUUGUGAACUUUACCCAGAAUCAAAAGGUGACAAUGUCCAAAUGCUACCAAGGUUUGCGGGUUGUACCAUUGCUGACAACAGAAAGAUACUGCUUUGGAGUGUGGGGAGAAAUUUGUGCUCUGGAAGCACUGAGAUGGAAUCUUGCUCUGUUGCCCAGGCUGGAGUGCAGUGGCACAAUCUUGGCUCAUGGCAACCUCCACCUCCUGAGGUCAAGCAAUUAUCCUGCCUCAGCCUACCAAGUCAUUGAGAUUACAGGUCUUACUGGGAAUGAAGUGGAUCAUCAAUCAGACUAAUCAACAUUGGACUUGGCCUACAGCUUUGCUGGUUUAUAGCUUCCAAUGGGGAAAAGUCACUGCUGCAUCUUACUCAUUUUUUUUUCUGUAUUAAAAUAAAAGGCCCUGAUUGUGUCAGUAAAUUUUUUUGCUAAGAAUUGUUGAUAAAACAAAAAAAAAAUUCAUCCAUAAUAGUUCAAAUUAACCACUCAUAAAUAAUCAGUUUCAAGUAUGUCUCAGAAUCUUAUAACUUUUAUUACAAAAUCAUUACUUAUAGUUUUUUAUUAAAACACUCAAAUCUUUGUGGAUUUUACCUCUUGAAAUUUAUGGUACAUUUUCUCAUUACUUAUUUAAAUGUAACCUGUAAUUGAGAUCCUUUUUUGUGGGAGGAAAUUGAUUUCUAUCAAUGAUUUACAGCAUACAAAAACAAACUGUAGGAAUUUCUCUUUUUGGUAGAUUUCAACUAAGCUCUUUUUUCCUUAGCUUUUCUGAAUUUGCCUUCAUCUCCUUAUUAUUUACUAAGGAGAUGGGCCCAAGUGAUAGGUCAUGAAGAUAAAGUGAAAACAUGUUCACUUAGUUUAUAUUUUGACAGGAAGUAAAAACAUCCUAAAUAUUUGAUCAAUUUAAAAUGUAUUAUUGGCAGGAAUAGUUAUUUACUUACUUUACUGAUAAUGUAUUUGUUUAAUAAGUCUAAAUUUCCUUUCUCUGUAUGCCAUUUUAGUUCUGACAUGUUCAAUUCAGCUCAUGGUUUUAAAAUAACAUCUGGAUAGGAGUUCCUAAUGUAUCAUGUCUCAAUUUUACACUGAAAACGCAUAAGUGAACACAGAAAAUUAUGAAUACUUCCAUGCUCGCUAAAAAGUAAAACCAAUCAAUAACCAUGGCUAGGACCUAGGGGAAAUUUUCAAAACAACUGGAUUUAUAAAACUGCAAUACAAUGACCCAUUCAGAUGUGUUUGAGCACCUAAGACCAUGUCUCCCACUAUAAUCCUGACUCUUGCUGUUCAUCUCUUCCUCACCUCCAGUUGCUUGCCAGGUAUGAA